rnacentral:rRNA from 1 species
AAAUUAUUAAUGUCUAUCACUUUCUUCCCACUUGACAGAGCUUUACGACCCGAAAGCCUUCAUCACUCACGCGGCGUUGCUGCGUCAGGGUUUCCCCCAUUGCGCAAAAUUCCUC